GGAGAGGUGGCCGAGGGGUUUAAGGCGCCCUUCUGCUAAAAGGGUAUAGCUAAAAACUAUCGAAGGUUCAAAUCCUUCUCUCUCCA
rnacentral:tRNA from 1 species